rnacentral:lncRNA from 10 species
CCUGCCCGAGUGCCAUGCUCGUCUCAGUCACUAGCUAGGAGCAGCCUGGGAGUGGCAUUGCCUCAACACAAACGUGGUGGUGGAUUUUGGAGCAUGGCAGCUGCUGCCAGAGAUCCAAGAGGUAAGAAUUGUGACAAAGGCCAGUCUUUUUUCAUUGACGCCCCAGAUUCCCCAGCCACGUUAGCCUACAGAAGUAUAAUUCAGAGAAUCCAAGAGUUUUGUAAUCUCCAUCAGUCAAAAGAAGAGAACCUCAUCAGUUCCUGAAACGAGAGAAUGUUCAGGACCAAGCAGUUACCGAGCGAGGCACUCACUGGGCAGCACAUCCAGCCAGACCCGACCAGCUCCGGGAUGGGGUGGGUCACAGCAAAAGGACCAGAUGCUGGUGUGGUCCGAAGCCACUUUCUCAGAGACACUUUAAUCAUUGAGUAUUUGUACACUUUUCUUUAGAACAUAUAUAAAGGGCAUUCUCUAC